rnacentral:other from 1 species
GUUACCCUACUGUGUUCGUGAUGUUGUAACAUCGGUUUUGAGCCAACACUUUAAAAAAGGGUUCCAUAUAUCAUUCGAGCAACGCGAUAGGCUUCGGCCAAGGCGGCGCGAGAGUGGAGGAAACCAUCCUGCUUCGGCAGGUUCAAAACUUUGCAACACACGGCAUGGUGGGGUCUUU